CACCAUGCCUGGCUAAUUUUUGUAUUUUUAGUAGAGACGGGGUUUCACCAUCUUGGCCAGGCUGGUCUUGAACUCCUGACCUCGUGAUCCACCUGCCUCAACCUCCCAAAGUGCUGAGAUUACAGGCGUGAGCCAUCGCACCUGGCCUUAAAUUCUUUUUUCUUUAUUUUUGUCUGACCGAGUUAACCCAAAGAACUGGUCUUUGAGCUCUGAGAUUGUUUCCUCAGCUUGGUCUUCUGCUGUUAAUACUUCUGAGUGUAUUAUGAAAUUCUUGCAGUGAGGUUUUGUUUUGUUUUGUUUUUUCAGUUCAAUCAGUUUAGUUUGGUUUUCUUUCUUUCUUUCCUUUCUUUCUUCCUUUCUUGAUAGAGUCUUGCUCUGUUGCCCAGGCUGGAGUGCAGUGGCGCAAUCUUGGCUCACUGUAAGCUCCGCCUCCAGGGUUCACGCUAUUCUCCUGCCUCAGCCUCCCGAGUAGCUGGGACUACAGGUGUCUGCCACCACGUCUGGCUAAUUUUUUGUAUUUUUAGUAGAGACGGGGUUUCAUGGUGUUAGCCAGGAUGGUCUCCAUCUCCUGACCUCAUGAUCCGCCCACCUUGGCCUCCCAAAGUGCUGGAAUUACAGGUGUGAGCCAUUGUGCCCUCUCCCCUCCCCUCCCCUCCCCUUCCCUUCCUUUCCCCUCCUUUCCUUUUUCUUUUCUAGUGUGGGUCCUAGGACCGAAGAUCACAUGUUGUCAUGACUCCUGGAACUGCAAAACUUGGAGGUGUACUGGGAGCCCAGGUGGGGGCGCACCAGGGAGGUGCAGGCACCUGCCCAGAGAGAAGGCCUCUCACUGCUCUCAGCCUGGGCCAGCCAGGAGGGGAACCUGUGACCCAUCCAUAGUUCCAUUACCAGGCUACAGCUCCUGGGCCAUCCUCCUGCGGCUGCCUCUGCUCUCCACCCUCCCUGGAGGCUGAUGCUGAAAGAGGGGGCCGGAGGCCUGGGUACUAAUCUCCCUCACUCAUGCACACUCCCUCAACAGAGGGAGUGGGGACGAUAGGGACUAUGAUGUCCUCUGGAUGCCGCCUUCCUGGAUUGUUUGUUUGGAACGUCUCUUCCAUUUCAAGUUUCCCUGUGAUGCUCAUUGAAACCAGAUGGCACUUGCUCAGCAGUUUGGAGGAGAAGACCUGUUCCCCUGCAGAGCGAUGGGGUUUCACCAUGUUGCCCAGGCUGGUCUCAAACACCUAGUCACAAAUAAUCUUCCUGCCUUGGCCUCCCAGAAUGCUGGGACUGCAGUGGGAAUGGAUCUUUGAAAUUGUGGCUGCCCUGAGAAGCCAAGGACACAUAGCAGUUGUACCUCUGCUGGAGCAUCCUGGGAGGUUUCCAGUGAUGGGACUUCCUUUUUGGGUAUGGUCAGACUAGUUGCAUGCCUUUUUAUUUUACUUGUUGCCUAGGUUUCUCCCUCAUGAACUUAUUUCAGUUACCAAAAAAUACUUUGUAGAUAAUGAUGGGGGCUUCUUACAUUGAUGGCCCAGAAACACGGGAAGAUGUAGGUUAACCAGAUGGCCUAGGCACAGAAGCCAUAUCCACACAUUCUAAACAGGGAGAGUGCUGAGAGCACACCCUUUGCUUUAUUUCUGGGAAAAAAAUAUUGCCUCCUUCCCCUAAGAAACUGAUCUGAUUUUUCAGUGUGGCCAUCAAUAUUCGUCUACCCUAAGGAUACUCAACUCUAUUUCAUGUUGUUGUAUACAUAAAGCCUAAGGGUUGGCAAGAGGUUCUGGCUUCACCUAAAAUACUCAUUCACUGGUUGUGAACUCUUUUGUGAGAGGUGGAUUCUGAAAGUGAAUGUGUGGCUCUUGAAUACUGGGAUCAACACCAGCUCUGUUAGCAGCAGAACUUGGGGGAUUUCAGGGAAAGAGACCUGGGGCAACAAAGGGAGGGUAGAUGGGCAGAGCAGGGGUGAGUGGGGCGGAGCUGGAAUGGGGAAGGCCAAGGUAAAAUGGACUGAGAGCUGAGACUAGCUGAGCAGCCCUGGUCUGCAUGGCUGGGGCAAGGCUGGCUCAAUCUCGGCUCACUGCAACUUCCAUCUCCUGGGUUCAAGCAAUUAUCCUGCCUCAUCCUCCUGAGUAGCUGGUUCUACAGGUGCCUGCCCCCAGGCCCAGCUAAUUUUUGUAUUUUUAGUAGAGACGGGUUUUCACCUCGUUGACCAGGAUGGCCUUGAUCACUUGGCCUUAAGUGAUCCAUCCAC
rnacentral:lncRNA from 1 species